GAGUUGAAUGUAACAUCCUUAUAGCUGAAACAUUCAUCACACCACUGAUUAUCAGGGUUGAUUCUACUGAACAGGGGAGUCGGCCAGGUGUCUUCUUCCUCCUUCAUAACCCCAUGUGUCCCUCCCAAACCUGUGAGCUCAGUCAAAGAGAACCUUUUCUGAUACAGAAGGACCAUUCUUCAGUCAAGAAGAUACCAAAUAGCUUUCUUCCCUUGCUAGAACAUUCAAACAAGCUCUCAAGGGGAGGGGUUGUUGUCUGUUUUGAUCACAGAGGUGUUGUGAGCAUCCAGAACAGUACCUGGCACAAUUAGAUAUUCAAUUGAUUUGAUCAAUUAACAAAUGAAUGGAUUUAUUUUG
ensembl:misc_RNA 7SK 7SK RNA